GAUUCCGUAGCUCAGUUGGUAGAGCACUUGACUUUUAAUCAAGGGGUCCCGGGUUCGAGCCCCGGCGGAAUCA
rnacentral:tRNA from 1 species